rnacentral:lncRNA from 1 species
UCUGUGCUAGCAGACACCAAGAUGAGCAAACCACAUCUCCAUGAGACGGAGGAGCAGCCAUAUUUCAGGGAGCCAAGGGCAGUGUCUGAUGUGCAUACUGUCAAGGAAGACCGGGAGAAUUCUGAUGACACGGAAGAGGAGGAGGAAAUCUCUUACAAAAGGGAGCAGAUCAUAGUGGAGGUAAACCUUAAUAACCAAACAUUAAAUGUCUCUAAAGGGGAA